AGGUAAUUCUGGAGCCUCUGAAAAUAUAUCUUGUGACCCUAAUGCAGGUGACAGAGGUGUGGAGAGAGGAGCAGCAGAACCUUUGAAUCCAAAGCUGCCAACAUCUGGACUGAGAAACAUAAUCAGAAGACCGAGAAUGAUCCCUCUGAGAUCCUUUCAACCUACCUUUACUGGAAGAAAAGGAAGGUGCUUUCUCCUUUCAUGCAA
rnacentral:lncRNA from 12 species